GCUGUAGCUCAGUAGCAGAGCAUCUGUUUUGCAUGCAGAAGGUCCCAGAUUCAGUUCCUGGCAUCUCCA